rnacentral:lncRNA from 1 species
GGCAGGGGAGAAUGUUUUGGAGGAAAGAGGGCCUUUCAUGCUCUGAUCACUCCUGGGAGGCAGUUGCCUCUUCCUCUACCAUCCGCUUUGUAUCACUUUUCCAACUACUUGAUAUGGUUUGAACAGAGUGGCUGUGAGUGGCAGCGGCACACACGGCUUGCCGUGAUUAUUAAAAACUCCAAUUUGUGUCUGUGUAACUCAACGUGGGAACCUGGAACCAUGUUUACUCUUCUGAUGACCCUGAAAGGUAGGCAUCUGCAAUUUACAGAUGGGGACAUAAAAGCUCCAAGAGGUUUAGUCAUUGGCUCAGGAUCUUGCAGCUGGUAACAGAGAUGCGGACGUGGGUUUGUCUAGCUUUUCUCUCAGCAGGUGAAGGAAGGGCAGGUUUUCCUUGCUUGGUGUCUAUCUCGCCCAUAAGAAUAUAAACACUUUCCAUGAGGGCAGUGACUUUGUUUCGUUCACUUCUGUAUCUCUGGUGCCCAGCACACAGUAGGUUCUCUGAACGUGUUUAUUCAAGGAAGGAAUUACUGUCUUCU